rnacentral:rRNA from 1 species
GAUGAACGCUGGCGGUAUGCUUAACACAUGCAAGUCGAACGGACUCUUCGGAGUUAGUGGCGGACGGGUGAGUAACGCGUGAGAAUCUGGCUUUGGGUUCGGGACAACCACUGGAAACGGUGGCUAAUACCGGAUGUGCCGAGAGGUAAAAGAGAAAUUGCCUGAAGAUGAGCUCGCGUCUGAUUAGCUAGUUGGUGAGGUAAAGGCUCACCAAGGCAGCGAUCAGUAGCUGGUCUGAGGGGAUGACCAGCCACACUGGGACUGAGACACGGCCCAGACUCCUACGGGGGGCAGCAGUGGGGAAUUUUCCGCGAUGGGCGAAAGCCUGACGGAGCAGUACCGCGUGAGGGAAGAAGGCUCUUGGGUUGUAAACCUCUUUUCUUAGGGAAGAACAAAAUGACGGUACCUAAGGAAUCAGCAUCGGCUAACUCCGUG